GAAGUAAGGUAAAAUUGUUUGAAUUUGUUUUUUUAUUACAGCCAAUUGAGUCUGUAAAUGGAAAGCAAACACAAAAUAAUGAUGGAUUGUUGAUCAAUUUUUGCUGAGUUGACUACCAUAGCACAAGAUGGAGGACCACGUGAGCAUGUAAUUAACAUGGACUGGCUGGAACAAGAAAUAGUUAUGGAAGAGCAGCUGGAAAGAGGAAGAGAAGAACAAAGAAAAAGGGAGGAGCAAACGAAAAGAGAGAAACAAA